rnacentral:rRNA from 1 species
UACGGGAGGUGCAAGCGUUGUUCGGAGUAAUUGGGCGUAAAGCGCACGUAGGUGGAUCUGUAAGUCGGAUGUGAAAUCCCUGGGCUUAACCUAGGAACUGCAUCCGAAACUAUAGGUCUUGAAUGCCUCAGAGGUUGGUAGAAUUCCUGGUGUAGGAGUGAAAUCCGUAGAGAUCAGGAGGAAUACCGGAGGCGAAGGCGGCCAGCUGGGAGUGCAUUGACACUGAGGUGCGAAAGCGUGGGGAGCAAACAGG